rnacentral:rRNA from 1 species
CCGCAUAAGCGCACAGAGCUGCAUGGCUCAGUGUGAAAAACUCCGGUGGUAUAAGAUGGACCCGCGUUGGAUUAGCUGGUUGGUGGGGUAACGGCCCACCAAGGCGACGAUCCAUAGCCGGCCUGAGAGGGUGAACGGCCACAUUGGGACUGAGACACGGCCCAGACUCCUACGGGAGGCAACAGUGGGGAAUAUUGCACAAUGGGGGAAACCCUGAUGCAGCGACGCCGCGUGAAGGAAGAAGUAUCUCGGUAUGUAAACUUCUAUCAGCAGGGAAGAUAGUGACGGUACCUGACUAAGAAGCCCCGGCUAACUACGUGCCAGCAGCCGCGGUAAUACGUAGGGGGCGAGGGUUAUCCGGAUUUACUGGGUGUAAAGGGAGCGUAGACGGUGUGGCAAGUCUGAUGUGAAAGGCAUGGGCUCAACCUGUGGACUGCAUUGGAAACUGUCAUACUUGAGUGCCGGAGGGGUAAGCGGAAUUCCUAGUGUAGCGGUGAAAUGCGUAGAUAUUAGGAGGAACACCAGUGGCGAAGGCGGCUUACUGGACGGUAACUGACGUUGAGGCUCGAAAGCGUGG